UAGGGAAUAUUAGUAAUGGGCGAAAGCCUGAACUAGCAACACCGCGUGUGCGAAGAAGGCCUUCGGGUUGUAAAGCACUUUUUGAGAGGAUGAGGAAGGACGGUACUCUCAGAAUAAGUCUCGGCUAACUACGUGCCAGCAGCCGCGGUAACACGUAGGAGGCAAACGUUAUCCGGAUUUACUGGGCGUAAAGCGCGUGUAGGUGGUUCUGUAAGUAGGGCGUGAAAGCUCCUGGCUCAACUGGGCGAGGCCUUUCUAAACUGCAGAGCUAGAGGAUGGUAGAGGGAGGUGGAAUUCCGGGUGUAGCGGUGGAAUGCGCAGAUAUCCGGAGGAACACCAGUGGCGAAAGCGGCCUCCUGGACCAUUCCUGACACUCAGACGCGAAAGCUAGGGUAGCAAACG
rnacentral:rRNA from 1 species